rnacentral:rRNA from 1 species
CAGUAGCCACGGUAAUACAGAGGGUGCGAGCGUUAAUCGGAUUUACUGGGCGUAAAGCGUGCGUAGGCGGCUUCUUAAGUCGGAUGUGAAAUCCCUGAGCUUAACUUAGGAAUUGCAUUCGAUACUGGGAAGCUAGAGUAUGGGAGAGGAUGGUAGAAUUCCAGGUGUAGCGGUGAAAUGCGUAGAGAUCUGGAGGAAUACCGAUGGCGAAGGCAGCCAUCUGGCCUAAUAAUGACGCUGAGGUACGAAAGCAUGGGGAGCAAACAGGAUUAGAUACCCGUGUAGUCCCUGUCUCUUAUAA